AUUGAACGCUGGCGGCAUGCCUUACACAUGCAAGUCGAACGGCAGCACGGGUGCUUGCACCUGGUGGCGAGUGGCGAACGGGUGAGUAAUACAUCGGAACAUGUCCUGUAGUGGGGGAUAGCCCGGCGAAAGCCGGAUUAAUACCGCAUACGAUCUACGGAUGAAAGCGGGGGACCUUCGGGCCUCGCGCUAUAGGGUUGGCCGAUGGCUGAUUAGCUAGAUGGUGGGGUAAAGGCCUACCAAGGCGACGAUCAGUAGCUGGUCUGAGAGGACGACCAGCCACACUGGGACUGAGACACGGCCCAGACUCCUACGGGAGGCAGCAGUGGGGAAUUUUGGACAAAGGGCGAAAGCCUGAUCCAGCAAUGCCGCGUGUGUGAAGAAGGCCUUCGGGUUGUAAAGCACUUUUGUCCGGAAAGAAAUCCUUGGCCCUAAUACGGUCGGGGGAUGACGGUACCGGAAGAAUAAGCACCGGCUAACUACGUG
rnacentral:rRNA from 1 species